rnacentral:tRNA from 1 species
GUAGAGAUGGCUCAGUGGUUAAGAGCACUGACCACUCUUUUGGAAGACCUGGGUUCAAUUCCCAGCACUUAUA